rnacentral:rRNA from 1 species
ACGAACGCUGGCGGCGAGCUUAACACAUGCGAGGCGAACGGUGAAGCGCCUUCCUGUUUGGGGGGUGUGGAGGAGUGGCGAACGGGUGAGUAACACGUGAGUAACCUGCCCCCUUCUUCCGGAUAACCGCAUGAAAGUGUGGCUAAUACGGGAUAUGCUGGGUCUGUCGCAUGAUUGGUCUGGGAAAGUUAUUGAUUCGGCGGGGGAGGGGCUCGCGGCCUAUCAGCUUGUUGGUGGGGUGAUGGCCUACCACGGCGGUGACGGGCAGGCGGCCUGGGAUGGUCAACCGCCACACUAGUGCUGCGCCGCGCCCAAUCCUCCUACAGGAGGCAGUAGUGAGGAUUGUUGCACAAUGGGCGCCCGCCUGAUGCCGCGCCGCCGCGUGAGGGAUGGAGGCCUUCUGGUUGUGAACCUCUUUCGCCAGUGAAGCAGGCCUGCCUCGUUUGUGGGUGGGUUGACGGUAGCUGGAUAAGAAGCGCCGGCUAACUACGUG